rnacentral:tRNA from 1 species
CAAUGAGUAGUUUAACUAAGAUAUUACUCUUACAAAGUAAAGAUUUACAUUUAAUUGUGUUCGUUGA